rfam:Parcubacteria bacterium GW2011_GWA2_49_16 TY42_C0001, whole genome shotgun sequence.
UGCGGGAUCGUCUAAUGGCAGGACUCCAGACUUUGACUCUGGCUAUCUAGGUUCGACCCCUAGUCCCGCAG